rnacentral:rRNA from 1 species
UACGGGGGGGGCAAGCGUUGUUCGGAAUUACUGGGCGUAAAGAGCUCGUAGGCGGCUCGUCGCGUCGACCGUGAAAACCCGCAGCUUAACUGUGGGCUUGCGGUUGAUACGGGCGGGCUAGAGUUCGGUAGGGGAGACUGGAAUUCCUGGUGUAGCGGUGAAAUGCGCAGAUAUCAGGAGGAACACCGGUGGCGAAGGCGGGUCUCUGGACAGUUCCUGACGCUGAGGCACGAAGGUCAGGGGAGCAAACGGG